CUCCAUAGAUUUGGCUAGUUGCUAUUUUUUGUACUAGUAUGUAAUGUAUGCAUUGCAGCUUGAUGAGUAAAGGACUGUAUGAGUUUGGGGGCUGUUGUUUCUUAAGCUUUUUUUGUUCAUUACCUAGUUUUAACAGAGAGGGAAUCAGUAAAGACUAAUUUGGGGGCUGGUAUAAAGAUUCUUCUAACACAAGCAGUAACCUGGAUAAUAAUGAAUCAGUGAAAAUUGGAAGGUGGAAUUCAGGUGUCUGUUUAAAAUGCUCCUUGCAAAGGUGCAAAAAAAAUAUAUAAGUAUCCAGCAUACUUCCAUCUGGUAACAAUGUAAGGGAUGCUGCAAUGCAAGCAGUUAGAAUGGUACAGCUAAUGCAGUUGAUGCCUCUUGUCAGAUGCUUGUCUGUAGGAUUGUCUUCAUUGCAAAAGUUAAUUUAGUUAUGUAUUUAAGUUACUCCACUGAGUGAGUGAUCGGGUAGCAAAAUGCCUACAAAAAGUAAUUUAUUUACAGAAUGAUCAAAUUGGCAUUGAGCUAUUAGCUUCUGCAUUGUUGCUGCAUUAUAAGCUGGAGGGUCAGCACCACCUGAGCUUCAGCCUACACCGUGACAGACCAGACUUGAGCCUAGAACAUCAUCUACCAUGAGCCAGAGACUUUGUGGAUGGAGAUGGGCAAAACUCAAGUUAUCCCUGACUGCAGUAUGGACAAGUUAAAUAUAUUACCAGUGUUUAAGAGGUUUGGACCCCAUGGAAUCCCUGUGACCAUAUUUCCUAAAAGGGAAUACAAAGAUAAACCUGAAGCCAUGCAGCUCCAAAGUAAACCAUUCCAAGAUGAGAGACAGGUGAAGUGUGAAGCCAAUGGUGCAGUCCCUGAUGACUCUUCUCCCAUUCAGCCAUCAGAACCUAGCCUAGCUAAAAGCUUAUGGACUUCUAAACCACCCCCUCUCUUUCAUGAGGGAGCGCCAUAUCCCCCUCCUUUGUUUAUCAGGGACACAUAUAACCAAUCAAUACCUCAGCCUCCACCCCGAAAAAUUAAGCGGCCCAAGCGGAAAAUGUACAGGGAGGAACCCACUUCUAUUAUGAAUGCUAUCAAACUACGACCCAGGCAGGUCUUGUGUGACAAAUGUAAAAACAGUGUUGUUGCAGAAAAAAAAGAAAUUAAAAAAGGUGGCAAUGCAAGUGACUCUUCAAAAUAUGAUGAUAAUAAAAAGCGAAGAAAUGAGAGUGUAACUACUGUGAAUAAAAAACUUAAGACUGACCAUAAAGUGGAUGGAAAAAGCCAAAAUGAAAGCCAGAGAAGGAAUGCUGUGGUCAAAGUUUCAAAUAUUGCCCAUAGCAGAAGCAGAGUAGUUAAAGUUUCUUCUCAAGCAAAUACUUCAAAAGCGCAGUUAAAUACUAAAAAAGUUCUCCAGAGCAAAAAUAUGGAUCAUGCAAAAGCUCGAGAAGUUUUGAAAAUGGCCAAAGAGAAGGCACAAAAAAAACAGAGUGCAACUUCCUCUUCCAAAAACACACAUUCAAAGGUCCAUUUCACGCGGCGUCUUCAGAACACCAGCUCAGGGUCCCUUCCACCUCGAUUGCGUUUAAAGCCACAAAGGUACCGGAAUGAAGAAAAUGACUCUUCCCUCAAGACAGGACUUGAGAAAAUACGGAGUGGCAAGAUGGCAACUAAGCCCCAGUCUCGUUGCUCCUCCACCCGCUCAGCAGGUCUCAACAAGUGACAGCAUAUUACAUCAGACAGUGACGAGUCCUGCUGCUCCCUAACAGUGUCUGACAGACCACUGUGGAUUCAGAUUGAGGGUAUUGAAGUUAACAGUGAAAUUGGCAGCUCAGAGGCAUUAGCCAACUGCUGUUCUUAUGGAACCUCAUUACACUGCCACGAAGAGCACCAGCUCAUCAGGACUGACAGAAAUUUGAAACUGAAUUGUUAUAGUUUUCUUCUGAAAUCUUUACCAAGUAGUAAAUGGUUGGGAAGGGCUCAUGUCAAGUACCCUCCCAACUCACCCUGCUGUGAGGGCACCUGUAUCUAUUGUACAUUUUCUUUGGAAUUUAAAAAAAAGAUGUGUUAGGACAUAUUUUAUAAAACUUUUCUGCAAUAAAUGAUGCAUGAGAUGAGGAGAGACUGUACGAAGUGUACAUGGCAAGGAACCACUUGAAUUAUAGUAUGAAGAAUCACUGCAAAUAACUGGUAUUUUUUAUGCGACAGUCACAUUGAUGUUUAACAGGCCCCAGUGAUGGAGCCAAUUGCCUGGAAAUUUACUGUAACCUUUGUUUUAACUUUCUCGUUGCAUUUUCCAUUCUACAAGACUUAGUUAGUAUUAGUGCAGGUGUUAGCAGAGCUGUGACCUGUGAUUAAAAGCAUGUCCAAAACCAGCUGUAUCGUAAAAUACGAACAGUCCUGCUAUGAGACCAAUGUUUCCUAUAGAGAUGAUGGGCAGGAUGACAACAGCAACUUCCAUGCAUCUCUAAAUUACGGGAAAAUUGCUUCCCUGUGAAUAUGGUUGUAGUUUCUUUAUGCUGAUGUAACAUUUUGGGAAUUGAGGAUUGUUGGAAAUGUAUCAUGAGGGGCUACAUCACUGAUAGUAUAUAGUCAGUUAGAUUUCCUUAUGGUAGUGUAACAAUACAGAGCCAAGAAUGGAUACUGCUUAGAUGAGAGGCCAGUCAUUUGCCAAGUAAUGAGUUUAUUUCAUCUUCCUGCACAAAAUUUUUCUCAUACAGGUAGCUGGUAUACCAAGGGUUUCCAUUAGGAUUUCUUGUGGUAGUUGAUCUGCAUAGCAUUGACUACUUUGAAUAGCCUCAUGUUGAAAUGAGAACAUGUAAUACUUUAUCUUUCUUGCAAAAGUUGUUUGGUAACAAUUAUUUCAGCUGAAGCUACUGAGUGCUGAGAACAAUGCUGAAAUAUUGGCUUGCCAGAUAAUUUAUUUGCUACUGAUUUGUGUGCACAUUUUCUUGACAGAAUAGCUCUUAAAACUCUUCUUAAUGUUAGUAAGGGAUUCAGGGGAUACCAAAGUGGGAAAGUACAUAUUUGUUUUGGAGAAGAGAAAAUGUGCACGUAAUAUUAAGACCUAAUAAAGUACAAGUUCCUGUUUCCAUGGAAAAACAAAGUCUUGUACUAACCUCUCUUCCUACUUGUGUUUUGAUCUCACUGGGGAAUGUAAAAUAUCUUUGUCCAGGGGAUUUGAAGAGAGAGCACCUUUCUUGAUAGGUAUAUCUUCUAGCACAAAGAGGAUUUUAUAACCUCCAUGAAUGGGGUAUGAAUUAAAUACAUUAAUUAAACACAGUACCCAUAAUUGUAUAUAAUUUCCCUUGGCUUUAGUAUUUGGCAAUACAACAAAUUCAUAUUUUUAAUGGAAUGGGGGCAUAAUAAUCCAGACCCAUAAAUACUAUAUUGGUGGUACAUGUGACCUAAAACAAUUCUAUAUUAGCGGUUUAGUACUUUUUCUAGUUCUAUUAGCAGUGACUGAUAAAUUUAUUUAUUAAAAACAGAAACUGAAACCAUAUCAUCUAAUAUUUUUCAAAAAAACUAUGUUAGUUCCAUGUUCAAGCUGUGUACCACUUUUCAAGUUGUGCCACUUCUCAUAAUAAACUGCAGAUUAAUUUUUAAAUUGAGAUUAGUAAUUAUUGAUCUGCAGUAUUCUGCCUUUCUGGUGUAGUCAAAACAGAGGGUCAGCAGUCUAGACCUGCACCACAGCCUGAAAUUUGACUCAGAAUCAAGGCAACUUGCUCUUGGAGAGAGAGAGGGAAAGGUGGUACAGUGAGUUAAUGUGCUAUCCUUUUACCUCUGGAGAGCAAAAGCUGAUUGUAUUACAGAUGAAUGGGGGUCUCAUCCCUAUUAAAGGAAUCACUUUUAUCUUCUUUUCCUUUUUUUUCUUUAAAAAAAAAAGAAGACAAUAUGGCACAAUUUCUGCUCAGGAAAAAGGCCCAGGACUGUAAUGGCAGGGUUAUUGCAUGUUGGGAUUGAAAAAUGAUUGAUGUUAUUUAUGAAAGCCAGUAGUGCCUGCCUAUCUGACUCUUAACCAGUGCUCUUAUUCCCUCAUCUUCAAAAGCGCUGGCACACACUACUUAAAAUGUACAAAAUGCUUGAGAGAGAGGUGUGCAGGUCUCUGCAUUUGAGAAUAUGGGUAAAGUAAGCAAAUAGCAUAAAAAUAGACUAGGUAGCUAACCAUAUUUGCUCAUGAAAAAUGAGUUUAUUUUCAUGGGAAGUAUUGUAGCCAUUUUGUUUGAAACCAGAUUUUCAUUUUGAAAUGAAAUUGUCAGGGAUAUUUUAAUGAUACAGAAUUACAGUAAUGUAUUGCUUUUCACUUUUUGACUUUAGUUGCUUAAUAUUUAAGCUUUGCUCCAUGCUACCUUUUUGUCUGUAUAUUGAAUGGUCACUAUGCCUCCUUCAUUUUGUAGACUUGAAUGAGGAAAAAAAUAUGAUUCCCCUUUAAGGUUUGCUCAAGAAGUAAAUGUUAAAAGAAUGUUGUGUAACAUUUAUUCAAAUAAAGCCUUGAUUUUUUUUCAGCACUUUUUAAAGGGUAGUUGUGUUGAAAACAUUUAUCUGCUGUUAUAUUCCACCACCCAUCUCCUUAACCUCAUUGAUUGAAUCUCAUGUAUUUAUAUUUUCUGAACUGAUGCAAGGGUGAAACCUAGGAUACAGCUCUGCUGCUCUUGGUGCAUCUUCAGACAGACUUGGCUAAUGCUAUGUAACCUUGAAUUCAAGCUAUUGUGGCUAAAAUGUGUUAAGUGUUCCUUGACCAACUGGAAGCUUUCCAGAAGAAAUGAGAACACCCCUGCUCCUUCAUAAUAACAAGGAAAGAGAUGGUGGACCAGGGAAAAGCAAAUAUAAAAGGAAAAAAAAAAAGAGGAUGGAUCUGCUCUAUAGCUUCAGUGAAGGAGCACUGGUAGCAGCUCAGGAAGGGAAGCACUCAGUGGUCGGUGCAACAGAGGUUCUGCUCUGUGCCUUUGGCAUUACUACAAAUAUAGAAAGUGGUGUAAGAGCUCUGUGCACUCAGGAAUCUCAUCUUCUGGUGGCUAGCUAAAGUCUGUGGUUCCACUUUGGGUGGCACAAAACACCCGGGACACCAGGAAGAGCUGGGCUUUGAACUCAAGCUCUGCAUGUUGAUCUACCACUGGGAUCCCACUAUGACUGUUUUUUGUUUGUGAUAGUAAUGACUUCAGACACAUGCAUCCAUCCCAGGUAAGUGUAAUGGAAUAUUUCUCCAUUUAAAUAGAAAACAGUUGCAUUUGCUCAUAAUUUUGCCCUACAGGGAGGAGAACAUGGUAUGUUGCAAUGGAUAAAGAGCACAGAAUCUCUAGCACUAGGAUGAAAGUAGGGUCAGGUUGCUGCAUAUUUCUACAAUUGGUAGCAUCCACGCUGCAUUGCCUGGUAAAAGAAAAAAAAAAUUGCUACUUUCAAUUUCUACAAAUGAAGUCUGUCAUUGUUAACGAAACGAUGUCCCAAUUUUAUCUAAGUGUCCAAGUUUAUUAAAUAUAAGCAGGCUUUU